AGAGAAGAAGAAGAAGUUUUUAAAGAUUCGAAGUUACUAUAUACAUUUUCAAAUUAUAAUUGAUAAUAUUAGAUUAUUUUGUCAGUUUGUCUUUGUGUUACAUAUAUGAAUUGUAUAACUAACUUUUCACUAUCACGCGGUUCUUAUUUUGUACAUAAUUGUUAAUUAAAUAUAAUUGAAAAUUAAAGAUUUGAUACUUAAAUAUGAAUGAAACUGAUUUCGGAGAUGAUUGGGAUGAUAACGUAUUGAAUGGUAUCGCUCAAGUCGAAGCAUCCGCUUUUGGAAAUCAUGAGGAGAACAGCCCUAAACCGAAACAUUUACAAGUUCUAAAAAAUAAUUUUGGCCAUCAAACAUUUAGACCUAUGCAGUGGAGAAUCAUCGACUCAAUUCUAACUCAUAAGAAAGAUAAUUGUGCUAUUAUGUCUACAGGUUAUGGCAAAUCACUCUGUUUUCAAUACCCUUCUGUUUUUACUGGUGGUGUAACUUUCGUUAUAUCACCUCUCAUCUCUUUAAUGGAAGAUCAGGUUUUGGCUCUAACAGUGGCAAAUAUUCCAGCUUGCUUACUUGGAACAGCUAAUAAGGAACAGGCGAAAACAGUAGAAAAAAUUGGUAAGAAUGAUUAUAGAUUGGUUUAUUUAACACCAGAAUUUUGUGGAGGAGAUUAUGGUAAAGAAUUAUUACAGCAUUGGGGUCAAACAUUACCUGUAACUUUAUUAGCCAUAGAUGAAGCACACUGUGUUAGCAGUUGGGGUCAUGAUUUUCGUACAUCUUAUAGAUACUUGGGUAAUUUGAGAAGUAUAUUGCCUCAUGUUCCAAUUUUGGCUGUAACAGCUACUGCUACUCAACUUGUUACUGAAGAUAUUGUUAAAAGUUUGAAACUAAGAAAUCCACAAUUUUCACGUACUAGUUUUGAUAGACCAAACUUUUAUUUCGCUGUUAAAAGAAAAACUGAUUUAAUCUUAAACGAUCUCAAAACUGUUAUGGAGUGUGAAAAUGGUCAAUGGAAAUUUGUUGGCUCUACUAUUGUCUAUACCAUAACUAGAAAAAAUACUGAAAAGAUAUCUGAUAUGUUAUCAUCUUUGGGAAUCAAAUGUGCACCAUAUCAUGCUGGACUAACAUUGAAACAACGUAAAGAGACCCACGAAAAAUAUGUUAGAGAUAAAUUGGAUGUUGUGGUAGCAACGAUAGCAUUUGGUAUGGGAAUUGAUAAACCUGAUGUUAGAAAUGUUAUUCAUUAUGGUGUAUCCAAUAGUAUAGAAAGUUAUUAUCAAGAAGUUGGAAGGGCGGGUAGAGAUGGUCAACCAGCGAAAUGCAUUUGUUUUUAUUGUGAUAGUGAUUUUAAGACUCAUAGAUUUUUGAUGGCUCAAACUAAUACUGCAUCCCAUAGAGAGAGAAAAGAAAAAAUAUUGACAGGUAUUUCAAAUUAUGUGAACAGUUAUGACUGUAGAAGAAAAUAUAUUUUGUCAUAUUUUGGAGAAAAAUUCGAAAAACCAAAGAGUGAUAAUUGCUGUGAUAAUUGUUCUAAUAAUGACAAACUACAAAAUAAUUAUGAGAACUAUGAGGAUCUCGAUCAAAAAGGCAAUUUCAACUUCACCAAAGAUGCCAGACUAUUUUUAUCUGCUGUUGCAGCAAUCCCUGGUAACUUUGGACUUGGAACUUAUAUUGAUUUUUUAAGAGGGUCCAAACGAGAGAAAUUGAAAAAAUUCGUUAACAUUCCUCUACAUGGUGCCGGUAGAGACAAACCUGAUAUAUGGUGGAAAGAAUUAGGACAACUUCUGAUUCGUAACAAGCUUCUUUCAAAUAAAGCAUGUUCUUUUAACAGUUUUGCGUUUAUUCUGGAAAUUACAGAUGCAGGAAAAUCUUUUUUGCAUGAUACUACUAAAGAGCUUAUUGUGGUUCCAACUCAAACGAUGCUUGGUUGCCUAAAAGCUAAAAACAAUAUUUGGCAAAAUAAAAGUGAUUCUGUAGUAAGUAACACUACAUCCGAACCUAGCACAAAAGAAAAGUCUGAAGAGAAUAUGGAAUUAUACAGAUUACUACUUGAAGUUAGAGCUGAACUAGCGGCUACUGAAGAUUGUAUGCCUUACAUGAUAGCGUCCAAUCGCACUUUAAUGGAUAUGGCCAGACUGCAACCUCAAAAUUUAAAAGAAAUGGAAGAUAUGCAAUUUGACGGGUUUCCAUCUGCUAAAAUAAAGAAAUUUGGUCAAAAGUUGUUGAAUGUUAUUCCAAAAACGAACGUUACCGCACCAAUUCUAGAACGAUUAAAACAGUUUCCUUUACCCGAAUCUCAAAAUUCUUUGAAUUCUAGUGCAAUUUCUUCAUACACCAUGUGUAAAAUGGGGAAAAAUAUAAAAGAAAUUGCAAAAGAAAGGUGUAUGGCAAUAUCAACCAUAGAAACUCAUUUGACAAAUUGCUUGAAAUUUGGUUACGAAAUUAAAUUAUCUCUAUUUAAUAUUGAUAAAAAUGUUGCUAAAACCAUCAUUACUGGUAUCCUUGAAGCAAACGCAGGAUUAACUGUACUAACACCAAUAAAGUUGGCUUGUCCUGAAGAAAUAACGUUUGGACAAAUAAGAGCAUUUACAACGUAUUUACGGAUCCGUGAGCAUUUAAAUGAAAAAUCUCUUAGUUAUGAAGAAUUUGAUGAUCCAGAGUAUUAUUAUAUGUAUAAACAACAAAUAGAGAAACGAGAAGAAAAUAAAAACCUUGACAAACUAUUAGAAGGCCUCCAAAAUAUCCAGAAAGAAGAAGUAAAUACAAAUGAGAACAGCAAUUUAUCUGAUGAUCUUUUAUCGAAUAUAUGUCACAAUUUGGAAAAUAAGAUUCAAGCUAUUGAUGAGAUUUCAGAAAACGUGGAUGAACCUGAUAAGAAAAAAUUGAAAAUGGACUUUUCAGAUCUUUUAGAUUCUCCACCUAGAUAUAAUUCAAAUGAAGAACCAAAUAACUUUAAUAAAAUUUCGACUACAUCGUCAAAUUCAAAAGAUUCAAAGGAAUCAGUACCAUCUCAGAUACAACAAAUUUCCACGAAUGAGGAAAAGAAAGAAGCGUUCAAUUUACCUCCGUGGUUAAUAAAAAAACGUAUUGCAUAAUUCUGAACAAGAUUUUUCUCAAAGUUUGUAUUAUAAUGUGGUUUCUAAUGUAUUUUAUUGUGGCGCUCAGGAUGAUGGUGAGCAAAAACUUACCUAAGCCUAGAGAAAGAAAACACCAGAAAUCUAUCUUCGCUUUAUCAGUCUGACUUCUCAUUAUGACUAUAUAUCUGUGUAACCAUUAAUUGAACAUUAAGUAUUUACAGGGUGCCCCUAAAUUCGACCGCCAACGCUUAAGGGGAAAUUUCUUGUGUUAAAUUAUGGUUAUCGGAAUAGGGAACUUAUGUCCGCAAACGCAUUCUUUCCAAGAUACAUGGUGUUGAAGUUUUGAAAAUAAAACGAUUUUUUGUCGAUAAAUUUCAAAUGGUGUGAUCGAUUGUUAUUGAAACUUUUUUACACAAAAUCAAGAAGAUUAAUAUCUUGAGACCUAACAGAUCAACCAAAUGACCCACCUCAACCUAUCCACUCCAGUCCACUAUGGAGUCGUACAUUUGCUGAAAAAAGUACAAAAGUUUUAUCAUGCUGAAAUAUUAUGUUUUGUCGGGUAUAAAAAAGAACUCCUUCCAGAAGAAAACAUGAUGGUCCUAUUGUGUUAUCGUCUACUACUCUAGUCCGGAAAUUUACAAAAUAUUUGCUGAUAUGCAUGGGUAAAAGUAGCAAUUUCGCCCAUACAUAACUGUUUUGGGAAUUAAAGAUGCCUUCUCUAGUAAACAUUGCCUCAUCGAUAAUAUUAAUUUAGAAAAUUCAUCAUUGUUUCGAUGUUGUUGAGGAUACCAAUUAAAAAAUUCUCCAUACAGAGCUUCUAUUUGUAUUCAAUCUGUGACUCAGAGAUCUCAUACUUGAAGAUAGUUGAUUUUCUAUAUUAUUCAAAACGUUUGUAGGACUCCAUUAACCUAUCGAUUUAUUUGGAAGAAACUGUUUUAUAUUUUUCUAAAUAAUCACAAGAGCGGUCACAAAAUGGUGUUUUUCUCGAAAACGGUUAAUUUUAACGUAGUCAAAUUACUUUUUUCGUAAGGAAUGAUGGUAGGAUUCAAAAAUUAAAAAAGUAACAUUUUAUCCAGUGGUGGAGAAUUCAGGGUUGGAAAAAGGUGUGCACCUCUGGAAAAAAACUAGAAAUCAUCGAUUCGUGUUAGAACAAGUAGUUUAUCAACUUGAUAAUGAUCAAAAAGUUUCAAUAAUACAUCAUUUGAAAUUUAUCGACAAGAAAUCGUUUUAUUUUUAAAACUUUAACAUCAUGUAUCUUGGAAAUAAUGCGUUUGCGGACAUAAGUUCCCUAUUUCCGAUAGGCAUAAUUUGACCCAAGGAAUUUCCCUAGAGCGUUGGCAGUCUAAUUUAAGGAUAUCCUGUAUAUCCGCCUAUGUAGUUGCUUCAGCAUUAAAUAUUUAUAUCAUUUUUUAAAAUUCCCAAUCAUGUUCAACAUACAUAAUAUUUGUUAUAUUAAUUUAUAAUUACAUUUCAUUUGUUCUAAAUUAAUUCUGGUAAAUUCUCAUGCUAUAAGUAGAUAAAAUUGAAAGACUAGGAGACAAUUGUGUUUUUGUUAAGAGCGAGUGAGUUUGUCAUAUUCUAUGAAAACAGACCGAAAAAAAAACUUUAAUCAAAUAUUAAUUUUUUUCCCACCGCAAGAAAUAAUUUAGACAAUAACUUAAUAUUUUUUUAAAAUCUUUAGAGACUUGUAAAUAAGAUUUGUAUCAAAUAUAAAUAAGAACCAAAAUUAUUUUCCAAUUGUUGCUUUCCAUUAUUUUUUAAACCAGAUUUUUGAUAUAGUGUUUGUUAUAUAUAUUUUUGUGUAUACUUCAAUUUGAAUUCCUUUUUGUAUAAAGACACAUUAUACUGAACAUAACUGCUUGUUAACUAAAUGUGACCCAAAAGCAUUACAUAAAACAAUAGGAAGUAUAACCCAGUGAUUGAAAAAUAAUAACAAAUACAAAGCAACAUUGUUUUCAAUGGAACAAAAUAUACUUAUUGCAAAUUGUAUGUCAAAGCUUUUAAUUAAAAAUGUUUUUUUGUUUUCUCAGCUAUUUUUAUUUAUUAGUAGUAUAAGAGUUUUUUGUAAAAAUUUGAGAAAAUAUAUUUUGUAUUCAAUUUUCCAAUAAAUUUUUAAAACAA